rnacentral:rRNA from 1 species
GACGAACGCUGGCGGCGUGCUUAACACAUGCAAGUCGAACGAUGAACCCGGAGCUUGCUCCGGUGGAUUAGUGGCGAACGGGUGAGUAACACGUGAGUAACAUGCCCUUGACUCUGGGAUAACUGCGGGAAACUGUAGCUAAUACCGGAUACGACCCUCGGCGGCAUCGCCAGUGGGUGGAAAGAACUGCGGUCAAGGAUGGACUCGUGGCAUAGCCGCGACUUGGCGAGGUAACGGCUCACCAAGGCGACGACGGGCAGCCGGCCGGAGAGGGUGAACGGCCACACUGGGACUGAGACACGGCCCAGACUCCUACGGGAGGCAGCAGUGGGGAAUAUUGCGCAAUGGACGAAAGUCUGACGCAGCGACGCCUCGUGAGGGACGAAGGUCUUCGGAUUGUAAACCUCUUUCAGCAGGGACGAAGCGAAAGUGACGGUACCUGCAGAAGAAGCACCGGCUAACUAUGUGCCAGCAGCCGCCGUAA